AGCAAUGAUGAGUAAGAGAACUUAACUGACUUGGUAUUGUUGCCCUGUGGCAUCACUGACCAAGGUUUGAAUGAAUUUAAUCUUCUCUCUGAGCUG